rnacentral:rRNA from 1 species
UGUCCAGACUCCUACGGGAGGCAGCAGUGAGGAAUAUUGGUCAAUGGGCUUACGCCUGAACCAGCCAAGUCGCGUGAGGGAAGACUGCCCUAUGGGUUGUAAACCUCUUUUGUCAGGGAGCAACGCCGGCUACGUGUAGCCGGACUGAGAGUACCUGAAGAAAAAGCAUCGGCUAACUCCGUGCCAGCAGCCGCGGUAAUACGGAGGAUGCGAGCGUUAUCCGGAUUUAUUGGGUUUAAAGGGUGCGUAGGCGGACUGGAAAGUCAGCGGUAAAAUCGAGAGGCUCAACCUCUUUCCGCCGUUGAAACUGUCGGUCUUGAGUGGGCGAGAAGUAUGCGGAAUGCGUGGUGUAGCGGUGAAAUGCAUAGAUAUCACGCAGAACUCCGAUUGCGAAGGCAGCGUACCGGCGCCCAACUGACGCUCAUGCACGAAAGCGUGGGUAUCGAACAGGAUUAGAUACCCGAGUAC